UACGGAGGGGGCAAGCGUUGUUCGGAAUUACUGGGCGUAAAGCGCACGUAGGCGGCUUGGUAAGUUGGGGGUGAAAUCCCGAGGCUCAACCUCGGAAUUGCCUUCAAAACUGCUUGGCUCGAGUUCGGAAGAGGUGAGUGGAAUUCCCAGUGUAGAGGUGAAAUUCGUAGAGAUUGGGAAGAACACCAGUGGCGAAGGCGGCUCACUGGUCCGACACUGACGCUGAGGUGCGAAAGCGUGGGGAGCAAACAGG
rnacentral:rRNA from 1 species